rnacentral:rRNA from 1 species
GACGAACGCUGGCGGCGUGCUUAACACAUGCAAGUCGAACGGAAAGGCCCAGCUUGCUGGGUGCUCGAGUGGCGAACGGGUGAGUAACACGUGGGUGAUCUGCCCCUAACUUCGGGAUAAGCUUGGGAAACUGGGUCUAAUACCGGAUAGGACAAUCGUUUAGUGUCGGUUGUGGAAAGUUUUUUCGGUUAGGGAUGAGCCCGCGGCCUAUCAGCUUGUUGGUGGGGUAAUGGCCUACCAAGGCGUCGACGGGUAGCCGGCCUGAGAGGGUGGACGGCCAAAUUGGGAUGGAGUGACGGCCCAGCCCCCGCGGGGGGCAGCGGGGGGGAAUGUUUGCACAGGGGGCUCAGCCUUAACGCGGGGCCGCGGGGUGGGGGAGGCCGCCUUUCGUUUUUAAACCCUUUUCCAACGGGGAAGAAGUUUUGGUGACGUUCCCUUAAUAAGAAGCCCGGGCAAACUACGUC